rnacentral:rRNA from 1 species
UAGUUGAACCUUGGGCCUGGCUGGCCGGUCCGCCUCACCGCGUGUACUGGUCCGGCCGGGCCUUUCCCUCUGUGGAACCCCAUGCCCUUCACUGGGUGUGGCGGGGAAACAGGACUUUUACUGUGAAAAAAUUAGAGUGCUCCAGGCAGGCCUAUGCUCGAAUACAUUAGCAUGGAAUAAUAGAAUAGGACGUGUGGUUCUAUUUUGUUGGUUUCUAGGACCGCCGUAAUGAUUAAUAGGGACAGUCGGGGGCAUCAGUAUUCAAUUGUCAGAGGUGAAAUUCUUGGAUUUAUUGAAGACUAACUACUGCGAAAGCAUUUGCCAAGGAUGUUUUCAUUAAUCAGGAACGAAAGUUAGGGGAUCGAAGACGAUCAGAUACCGUCGUAGUCUUAACCAUAAACUAUGCCGACUAGGGAUCGGACGGUGUUAUUUUUUGACCCGUUCGGCACCUUACGAGAAAUCAAAGUGCUUGGGCUCCAGGGGGAGUAUGGUCGCAAGGCUGAAACUUAAAGAAAUUGACGGAAGGGCACCACCAGGGGUGGAGCCUGCGGCUUAAUUUGACUCAACACGGGGAAACUCACCAGGUCCAGACACAAUAAGGAUU